GAUGAAGAACGUAGCGAAAUGCGAUAAGUAAUGCGAAUUGCAGAAUUCCGUGAGUCAUCGAAUCUUUGAACGCACAUUGCGCCCCCUGGUAUUCCGGGGGGCAUGCCUGUCCGAGCGUCAUUGCUGCCCUCAAGCACGGCUUGUGUGUUGGGCCCCGUCCUCCGAUCCCGGGGGACGGGCCCGAAAGGCAGCGGCGGCACCGCGUCCGGUCCUCGAGCGUAUGGGGCUUUGUCACCCGCUCUGUAGGCCCGGCCGGCGCUUGCCGAUCAACCCAAAUUUUUAUCCAGGUUGACCUCGGAUCAGGUAGGGAUACCCGCUGAACUUAAGCAUAUCAAUAAGCGGAGGA
rnacentral:misc_RNA from 1 species